rnacentral:piRNA from 1 species
UGGAGAUUUGUGAAGGAAUAGGAGG